CCUCAAUAGUCUCAGUAAUUCUGGGAAACAGGUGUUAAUACUCUCAUUCGGAAGAGAAGUAACUGAGGGACCAGAAGCUUAAACAAGAUUCAAACCCAGACAAGUGAUUCCAAAACCUGUUGCUUCCUAAAAUUCCCACUGGUUGUGUUUUGAUGUGUUCCCUAGCUCCAGGAGACAGAAGGAUGGUGUUUUGUCUUUAUCCUGGAGUUAUAUGAGCCUGGAGUCUCCACUUAUUAUUCCUCAAAAGCUCUCUGCUCCCUUAGCAGCCUCGCUCAAUGUCCAGGCUCGGGCUGAUGUUUGCAGAGGGACCAUGUGGAGAUCACUGUGAAAAUACUAACACCUGGGUUUUUUUUCUGAGCCUGUGCCAAGUGUGCAUCUC
rnacentral:lncRNA from 1 species